UCAGAGGAUUCCUACCUGUAUAAAAUGCAAAAGAUCUUGACACAUCCCAAGUCCAGUCUGUAGCUGUCACGAAAUGAGAUCCACCUGAGAGAUCUAAAUUGCAAGGCAUAUAAACUUUAUUUGGAUUGGCCAGCACACAAGAACUAGAAAAGGCUCAAAUGUCUCAGCAACUGCAAUUACUAUCACCAGGUUGCAAGUUGGCAGGCUUUAGAGGCACCUGAAACAGAUAGAACUAAUUGCUUCCUCCUUUGACUCUCACUAGAUUUUAUGCAUGCUAUCAUCUCAUUACCAGGCCUUUUUAAGUUUGGGGGAUUAAAUUUGGAAGAAGAUGAAGGGAUUCCAGGGACCAGAAGGAACACCACCCUAGCCUUCAGGACCACGGACAGUGACAUGCAUGCCUGGUAUGAGCAGAACCAGACACUUUGAUCUGGCCAUACCAACAGCUCAAGGAAUUUACCAUUGACAGGACAAGGAGUGCUCACCAAAUCCAAAGGCACUGAUGAAUUCAUACUAAGGGGUUAUUGCUAGUACAUUAAGAUGUACAGCAAAAUAAUACAUAUUUUUAGAGAGACCCAAAGGCAGAAGUAGUUAGAUCUACCCAAGUGGGGGCGUGGUCAUGGAGCUGGAUCUUGGAAGGUGGAGCCUGUGGAUUAGGGAGGCCCUGAACAUUCCAGGCAAGAGAAGCUCAUACACAAAGCCCUGUUCCAGCUUCUUCUCUCUGAUCUCUGUGUUCUCUCCAGACAGAGAGCCUGUUCUGCAUCUCUGAGGACUUGUGGCUGCUCAUGAACUGACCUGCCAUGAGUCCAAAUUCUCAGGGCAGGAGUCUAAUCUUUUAUUAAAAGGAUACAGCUAGCCUUUGAAGGCAAAGAAUGGAUCUAUAAAUGUUCAGAAGAAACUGAGUGAUAAGGGUGGAUUCAUCUCAGCAUGCUGGCUCUUAACUCUAGCUGUAUCUCUUUUAUAACAACUGGAUCCACUGGGUGGAAAUUCUAACUCGAGACACCAUGGAGGGCCCAGUUAAUGAUCUGGGUGUCCCACGUGUCUGAGCAUAUUCUCUCAAAGUCCGCUUUUGGAGUCUUCAACUUAUCUCAUUACCCUCACCGUUCCCAGGAUAAGCCUGGCCAUUUGCUUAGUCAUCAACGUAUUUGAUUAAUAUGUACUGAGCUCCCAGAAUAUUCCAAGCACUGUGCAGACUGGUGAAGAGGCAACAGAGGCCAAACUCCCGGUCUUGACCCUCAUGGGUUCCCAAUCCAAUAGAGGAGACAGAGUCAUGUCAAGUCACAUAUAGAUAUUCACCACAAAAGUCUACAACCAGAUGAAGAGUUACAACCUGGAGCUACUGCCAAGCUCACCACAGAGUUCUAUGACCAUGGGACUCUGCAGGAGUCACUAGGCUGUUCUGCUCAAGCUGUGUAGCCCCCAUCCAGGGUGGAGGUUAUCCCACCUCGCCACGGUCUCUUUGGCUCUGCCCUGAGACCUAGAGUGUGCCCCAUUCACUAGGGACAGCACUGGUUGGGUCGAACAGCCAGCCCAGCACAUGUUUAACAAUGCAGUCCUCAGAGAGGAGGCGACUUUACUAACCCUGCACAGAGAGCAGUGGCUUUUACUCAGGAUAAGGCUGGGACUAUCAGGAAUUCAGCAAAGGUCUUGUAGUUGUGGCCAGACUCUCCAAAUCAGGUUCCCCCCCCCAUGGGUCUCAGUCCAAGCACAGCAGGUAAAGUGACCCCCACCUUCAGUCUCUGGCCCCUCGCACGCAAAGAAGUAGCUUUUCAAAAACCCAUUCAAUGUGGCAGCUACUUUACAUAACUUAGCUUAUUUUCUGUAAUCCUAAUCACAGCCCUGAGAUAAUUGCUGUAAUUCCCAUUAUAGAGAGAACAAUGAAGUUUGCAGAGUUAGACAAUUUACCCCCAGGUCACAGAGAUUGUCAGUAGCAGAACAGGGAUUUAAACACUUGUGCAAUUCUAAAGCUCCUGUUUUCUCCACUGCAUAUGAUGCCUCCCCUGGAACUGAGGAGAGACAGGGAAGCCACUCAGAUGCUAGGCACAGAGCACUCUUCAGAGCAUGCUCAGUGGGCCAAGAACUGAGAGACAGUCCUCAAGCAGCCAGCCCACAGAAGACAUUGAACAUCCAACCAACACUUUAUACAAGCCCUGACGUCAUCCUUGACAUCAUCCUUUGUGUCAUCCUUUGUGAAUGCACGCACGUACCUCAUCCCAAGUAAUGCUUCUUACAAACCCAGCAAGUCAGUGUUUCGAGACCUUCAGUUCCUUUUUGACGACUGAAUCUCCAGACCAUUCAAGGGCUGGAAGGACGCAGCAGGUGGUGGCAGGGCCAGGGCUGACUUCCAUUCGUCCUGCCCCCAGGUCUGCCCUCUCUUCAGCAUGCAGCCUCACCUCUGCAUGGGAGAUGGAGGGAAGAGGACAGGUAUUCCUCAAGAUGUGGCCAUGGGGAGGGUGUUUGGGGAUGGGCCUUUGAGACCAAGGGCCAGUCCGUGGGGCCUGCAGGAAGAGACAGGAUGCUGCAGAGGAGGAAGAGAACUGUGGCAGCAUAAGCCAUGAGCCAGGAAGGAGUGAGGCUGAGGGCCAGAGAAACUCCAGUAGCCCAGGAGAGAGAUUCUGGAGACUUGCCCGGGGCUGCAACUGAAAUGAUAGGAGACAACCUCAAGAAAAGAGUUAUGGGAGGUGUGUUGUGUUGCAUACAACAGUCCCCAGCUAAUUAUUGCAUGAGCAAAAACAGAAGCCUAUUUAACAACUUACUGGCCAGAGUCAGGGACAGAACACACUUAAAAGUUCUCCCAAGAAAAUUAAUUUGGGCAGCAGAGAAAGGACAGAACUGGAGGGAGUUCUGUCCUCCUCCCAGGGAGGAGAGGGCUGGACUCAAAGAGGUCUGCAAGGCAAGGCCAAGGUAAAGUUGGUGCCCAAGGAAAAGUGUGUUAUCAGUGUAUAAAUAGUCACAAAGUCAGGGAAAGCUGUCAUCGCUGGCAGCCUCAGAAUCCAAGGCAAGAGAUAGCAAGAAACUUUGAGCAGACUUGCAGGCAGACGUCAUAGACAGUUAGAGUGGAAGGAACCUUAGGAAAUGCCAAGUCUGACGUCCUCUCUUUAGGGAUGGGGAAACUGAGGCCCUGGACAUGUAAAGCGACCUGCCCCAAGUCACACCCCUGGGGAUCAGUUCCCGAAACUUCUGGUUCCAGAUCCACGCUCCUUCCCACCCACCAAGCAAGGACCUCUCCCCCAACAACCCCACUGCCCCCCCUGACUAAAUAUUAUCUGAUCCUUGACUUGAAGACAGAAGAGACAGCUAACUAAAGUAUGCAAUCUUUAAAUGUCAGUUCAGAAUAGCAUAUUAACAUAAUCCCCAGAUGGAGGCAUUAGCAUUUGUACUCUCUAUAUUGCCUGCUGGAACUUGCUGACAUGUCUAAAAUCAAAAAUGUUACUACUGCCCAAGGUGGCAGGGAGCCAUCCAAGGAAUACAGGGAGGAUAG